UACAGAGGGGGCAAGCGUUGUUCGGAAUUACUGGGCGUAAAGGGCGCGUAGGCGGCCUUCUAAGUCGAACGUGAAAUCCCCGGGCUCAACCCGGGAACUGCGUCCGAGACUGAAAGGCUUGAAUCCGGGAGAGGGAUGUGGAAUUCCAGGUGUAGCGGUGAAAUGCGUAGAUAUCUGGAGGAACAUCGGUGGCGAAGGCGGCUACCUGGACCGGUACUGACGCUGAGGCGCGAAAGCUAGGGUAGCAAACAGG
rnacentral:rRNA from 1 species